CCCCCUGUCUAGCUUGGCUUGGUGGGAAUUCAACUAACUGUUAAGAAUCCCAAUCUGUUUUUCUCUUUUCCAGCUUGGCUCAAUCCCCUGGGACUGACAUUACUGCAGACCUUCUAAUGGAACCUUACUUCUUUUUCCUAGAAAGAAAACUGGCCACACUGGGGAGCCUGCGAUAGCAGCGAGAACAAUCGCUUGUGACUGGAGCAUCCAUCACGGGCCGAGGUCCUACAGCUGGCCGGCCUGGAGGAGCCGCCACCACCACCGCUGCCUUCACCGUGGUCUGCACUUUAUUAGAAUUUAUACGUUGCCCCGAUUGAGGGGGAAAAUAAUUAACACCUCUACAAAUAUAUCGUAAAC
rnacentral:lncRNA from 1 species